GAUGAACGCUGGCGGCGUGCUUAACACAUGCAAGUCGAACGGUGAACGAGGGAGCUUGCUCCCUCCGGAUCAGUGGCGAACGGGUGAGUAACACGUGAGCAAUCUGCCCCGAACUCUGGGAUAAGCGCUGGAAACGGCGUCUAAUACCGGAUACGACACGCGAAGGCAUCUUCUGCGCGUGGAAUGAAUUUCGGUUCGGGAUAAGCUCGCGGCCUAUCAGAUAGCUGGUGAGGUAAAGGCUCACCAAGGCGACGACGGGGAGCCGGCCUGAGAGGGUGACCGGCCACACUGGGACUGAGACACGGCCCAGACUACUACGGGAGGCGGCAGUGGGGAAUAUUGCACAAUGGGCGAAAGCCUGAUGCAGCAACGCCGCGUGAGGGACGACGGCCUUCGGGUUGUAAACCUCUUUUAGUAGGGAAGAAGCGAAAGUGACGGUACCUGCAGAAAAAGCACCGGCUAACUACGUGCCAGCCGCCGCGGUAAUAC
rnacentral:rRNA from 1 species